rnacentral:rRNA from 1 species
UUCAGGAGGGGGUCGCGUCAGAUUAGUUAGUUGGCGGUGUAAUGGCCCACCAAGACAGUGUUCGGUAUCUGGCAGGAGAGGGCGCACGGACACACCGGAACUGAAACCCAGUCCAGACUCCUACGGGACACAGCAGUGGGGAAUUUUGCGCAAUGGGGGAAAACCCGACGCAGCAACGCCGCGUGGAGGAUGAAAUCCCUUGGGAUGUAAACUCCUCUCGAUCGGGACGAAUAUGACGGUACCGGAAGAAGAAGCCCCGGCUAACUUCGUGCCAGCAGCCGCGGUAAUACGAGGGGGGCAAGCGUUGUUCGGAAUUAUUGGGCGUAAAGAGAUCGUAGGCGGUUUUGUAAGUCGUAUGUGAAAUCUUCGGGCUCAACUCGAAGUCUGCACACGAAACUGCCGGGCUUGAGUAUGGGAGAGGAGAUCGGAAUUCCUGGUGUAGCGGUGAAAUGCGUAGAUAUCAGGAGGAACACCUGUGGCGAAAGCGGCUUCAUCUGGACCAUUACUGACG